rnacentral:tRNA from 1 species
GGGUAUAUAGCUCAGUGGUAGAGUGCAGGCUUAGCAUGCACAAGAUUCUAGGUUCAAUUUCCAGUAUCUCCA